rnacentral:sRNA from 1 species
GUGAGAAGGAAUUUAACAAAGAAAUGCCAUUCACAUCUUUUUCUUUUAAAAUCAGGUUGGCAGAGUAGCCUACCCUUUCCUGGGUGACAGAAGGGAAGCUUCAGUUACAGUUAAACCAAGAUCUCAGCAUCUUGCAUCAAGAUGAUGGUUCAUCUAAGAACAAGAGGGGCGUCCUGCCAAAGCAUGCCACGAACGUGAUGCGGUCCUGGCUCUUCCAGCACAUCGGGCAUCCCUACCCAACAGAGGAUGAGAAAAAACAGAUUGCUGCUCAGACAAAUUUGACACUACUCCAAGUCAACAACUGGUUCAUCAAUGCCAGAAGACGAAUUCUUCAGCCAAUGUUGGAUUCAAGUUGUUCAGAGACCCCCAAAACAAAGAAAAAAACUGCUCAGAACCGGCCAGUUCAGAGGUUUUGGCCUGACUCUAUUGCAUCAGGAGUCGCACAGCCACCGCCGAGCGAGCUCACCAUGUCGGAAGGAGCUGUUGUCACCAUCACCACGCCCGUGAACAUGAACGUGGACAGCCUUCAGUCUCUGU